CUACUCCGAGACACCAGUCAACAAGGAAGACACAAGAUUCAGGAUCUGUGGCGCUCCAAGGUGUAUAAGGUCCUAAAAGUACUGGGUGAUACUGGAGCAGUUUACACUGUGGCUCCUGCAGAUGAGUUGAACAAAACUAAAAGGGUUCACCGGUCUCUACUGAAGCCAGUUGUUUGCAGUGACAUCCCAGCAUCCCCUAUUGGGGAACCACUGUUGACUGAUUCAUCCUCUGAGGAUGAAACUGAUCCUGAUUUGUUUUUGAGGGUAAAUGUCCACCAGUCACCGCCUUCUUUGCCAGCCAACCCACACCUGGUCAGAAACAACACGGUUCCUCUGUCUGCCGAGGUAUAUCCUCAUGAAGCUCCUUCAACAUCUGCAUCUCAAGCUCCUAGUGUUGCCAGCUCAAGUAAAGAUCAGGGCCUUCCAAGGGUAAUGAGAAGAACUACACGCUCAACAGCAGGUCAGCACUCCAAUGUCCACCAUCUCCCAAGACCAAUGGGAUUAGUGCAUGGGGCUGCACACUCUCCUGAUCCACACUGUAAUGCUGUUUCUGCACUGUUUAGACCUUGGUGCUAGUGUUUUUGGGGUCGUCGUCGGGGCGUCGACGCAAGUUGGGGGGGUAGAUUGUAGCAGCAUAAAUGGUACGCUGCCACUUUAAGAUCAAUUUCAGCUGCUGCAUAUAAGCAGGUCUCUACCUGUCACAAGACUACUUGCGUCAUGACGUCAACUCAUUUUGCUUAGUUUGUUUGCUGAGCUGUGCUGGGUAAGCGUGGCUGUUUCUUUGUUUGUCAGCUUUUAUCAUAGCCAUUAAUGCAAGCUGGUUUGAUUUGUUUAGCCUCCCUUGCUGUGCCUCCAACUCCUGGACCAAUUUGUUCGGUUGUUUGUUUGCUGCCGGGAAGCUGCGCUCCAUAGGUGACCUUGUGGAUCUGUUUGUCUGGCCGUGUAGUAAUUUACAGGGACUGAGGCUUCUGUGGUGGCGGUGGUGACCCCUGGUGGCGGUGUCUUGUCUUGUGUGUUUUGUGGAACACCCCUUUUUUGUGUGUGUGUGUGUGUGUGUGUGUUUGCCGUGUCUUUGUAGUGUCCUGGGUGAUCCCUUUUUCUUCACUGGAUGUUGCCCCUUUCCUCACUACUCUCCCCCCACUGGUAAGCCUCAGUUUCCUUUGAAAUGUAAACAUUUUAUAAUCAACUUUAUUAAAAAUGCAUUCACUGUUUUAACUAUUCGAUUUCAGGUUAUUGUUAAAUUAAACAACCUAUUAAAGUUUAAUAAAUUUUUUGUAGAAUUGUC